AACCCAUGAUUUAGGCAUUUUUUAAGCAUCAUUUUGAAUCUUUCCCACGUCUCACAAAAAGAUUCACCUGCUCCUUGUGUGAACAUAGAGAUUUCAGACCUUGCUU
rnacentral:snoRNA from 1 species